rnacentral:rRNA from 1 species
CUAACUCCGUGCCAGCAGCCGCGGUCAUACGGAGGAUCCAAGCGUUAUCCGGAAUUACUGGGCGUAAAGAGUUGCGUAGGUGGCAUAGUAAGCGAGUAGUGAAAGCGUUCGGCUCAACCGGAUAAACAUUACCAAAACUGCAAAGCUAGAGGAUGAGAGAGGUUAUUGGAAUUCCCUGUGUAGGAGUGAAAUCCGUAGAUAUAGGGAGGAACACCGAUGGCGUAGGCAGAUAACUGGCUCAUUCCUGACACUAAGGCACGAAAGCGUGGGUAGCAAACGGGAUUAGAUACCCCGGUAGUCCACGCCGUAAACUAUGGAUGCUAGCUGUUAUCGGUAUCGACCCCGGUAGUAGCGAAGCUAACGCGUUAAGCAUCCCGCCUGUGGAGUACGGUCGCAAGACUAAAACAUAAAGGAAUUGACGGGGACCCGCACAAGCGGUGGAGCGUGUUGUUUAAUUCGAUGGUAAACGAAGAACCUUACCCAGGUUUGACAUCCUUGGAAUUUUGCCGAAAGGCGAGAGUGCUUUUAUUAGAGCCAAGUGACAGGUGUUGCAUGGCCGUCGUCAGCUCGUGUCGUGAGAUGUUUGGUUAAGUCCAUCAACGAGCGCAACCCCUGUGAGUAGUUGAAUUUUUCUACUCAGACUGCCCUGGUAACAGGGAGGAAGGGGGGGAUGAUGUCAGGUCAGUAUUACCCUUAUAUCUGGGGCUACAAACACGCUACAAUGGCCGGUACAAAGGGCAGCCAAGUCGCAAGACG